rnacentral:tRNA from 1 species
GGGCCUGUGGUCUAGUGGCUAUGACGUUGCCUUCACAUGGCAAAGGUCGCCAGUUCAAAUCUGGCCAGGCCCA